AAGCCGCCAAGGCUUCAGUGUGUCAAGAGAUCUCACAGUCGUCUGGUCUCAUUUUAGUCUAACGUUUGAACAAGUGAUGAUUCGAAAGUGCACUGUGUUACACGAUUUUCAACGACAUGCAGUACAACUUCUUCAUCUUGCCAUUUGGUUUUCUUCAGUUGAUCUCUCGCAUACAGUUACACUGAGAUUUCAUCAGCAGUAUUCGCUAUUCGGGUAGGAUUAUGGACUUCAUUAUGCCAGCCACCUGCUGCAUUCAUUAGACCCCUUCUUUUGUGUCAGAAGUGUGAAAAAUAUCCUCUGCUUACAAUGGCAGCAAUACUUUUCACCUGGCACCCCACUGCACCUUUUUCUGGUAUUUUCUACACGUGAAUUUACAAAACAAUGGAGACACAUUGAUAUGUGUUCAACUGUUCAUUUCAAGAUAAAUGUAUUUCAAUUUGUAGUCGCAAUUCGGGAUAGGAGAUAUUGUGAAACGCCAACAUGUAGAAUCACGGUACAAAGAUGUCUUCUUCAAGCAAGAUGCCUGUGAAAUGGACCAACGGUCCGUUCUUGUCAUCACUGUAGAGAGUUCCAGAAGUGAUGGUUAAUUUCACGGUGUCUCCUUUGGCAAGAUGCCAAAUAGAAGGAAGGGUCAUCGUAAAUUGUCCCGGAUCAUCAGCAAACGUCGAAGCCUUUUUCACAUCGUUGACUUGAAAUACUACACUGAAAGCUCCGCCGACCGGAUCGUUGAUACCCGAAAAGUCAAACAAGUACGUGCCAGUUAUAGGAACGGUGAAUAUGCCCGAUGCCAUGUCCAUGGCUCCUCCUUCGUUCAGUAUUUUGACAUUGAACGUUAUCUCUAAUGGAAUUGGCGAUGAAUACGGUUUGGAUCUUUGCACGUAGAAUUCGACGGCCUGCGUUUUCACAUCCGCGUACCCUAUCGUUUCCUGUUUGACAUUUUGACCUGUUAUCAGUUUACGCCGAAAAAAAAGUUCGUGAGCAAUUACAGGAUACAACCCGUUGAGAGUGUAGCCGAUUCGCCACAGAUCCGCACAGCUGCUUGGGUAGAAUGCAUAGGUUGGUUUUCCAGAACACGUGAAUUUUCCCAGGGUGUGGCUGCCUCCGUUGUGAUUUAUCUGCCCGAAAUUUAAUUUCGUCACCGGUAGAACUCCCUUCAGUGUAAUAUUUCCUGGAAGCAGCAAACGCAAAAGGGGACAGCUACGUUAGCGUCACAGUUGCAUUCGAGAUCCGGACGAACACAAUUGUUUUCAAUGCCGCAUUGACAGGUGUGAUCGGAUUCAUCUGAACCCGACCAAAAGGUUUGUUUAUUAUCACUAACAUCGGUCCACCAGGCAUAGUCAAUGCCGUUUACCGUAAAUGGUCCUCCAAGACAAUUCACCUAUACAAUUUAAUUUAUCGUUAGUUGAACGAACAAUAUUAAAAUGUAAAAAGGUCUAACUUGUAUAGUUUGAUGACAAUCUGCGGAAAUUUCUGCCAAGGCUUUCAUUUGCUUGAGAGAUCCGCCAUUGUACACUAUCGGUCGUGAAUAGCAACCAGCGGGACUGCAUUUAGGAAUGUCAAUAGUUGCCUCACUAUCAUGGCCAACGCUAGUCGCUCCUGUGGAUUAAAGAACUGGACCGUCGGGAUCGAUCCAAUACAUUCCGGACUCUUUGAAUUCCGGAAGGCCACUUUCACGAGCUUCGUGGCACGUCCUCGGGACAAACAGUGCCGAAGAUGUAGCAGCCAUGGCUUUAUGGGCCACGAUUGGAUUACCGUCAACACUGCGCGAUUUCGUCUUGGCAUUUUCCUCCAAGACGGGCUCGAGUCGCUGGACUUUGGUCUUCAACGAAAGGAUCUCAUCUCUGGCCGUCUUCAGUUGAAUCUCUUGAUCUCGAACUUUGGCUUCUAAUUGAUCAAAUUUCGCCAUGAUCAUGACCUGAAAAGAUUUGUAUUUGCAACAAUCAAAUCGUUAGGGUUACCAAAAAAAACAAAUAUCUUACGUCAAAUUGUCGCUGGAAUUCAUCUGGAAAAACUUCUCCACCGGCAACUGUAAUGACUAACAAGCAGCUGAUAAAAAUGGUGACCGACAUGUUCAACGCGAUUCGUUCGACUGGAGCACUGGGUCUCUUGCCUUAAGCUUAAUUGCGACAUCGAACGCUUGUAGGAAAUCGCGCAAGAGUGCGACACAUCCCUAUUUAAACAGGGAUUUAAAUUGAAGAAAGGCCUCCACAACCGCGAUGGUUAAGCUAUCAAGUAAAUUCCCGUCGCUUGUACCUGUUUAUUGACUACAAAUGCCACUUAAUCUCACACGCAGUGCAAGCCAAAGAUGAUCGUUAACGUUCAUCAAUGACGGCCGGCCUACAUGCGUCAGCAAAAGAACCCCAUCAGACAUUAAACCGGGUAAGCCUGAGCCGAUAGCCAUGUAGGAUUUAGGGCAACGUGGGAUUAAUUGGAUUUUCCAUGUGUACAAGUGACGUGAUGGGCCUUUUUAUCACUAAAAACGUGCUGUCGGUUGCCACUAUCGGAAAUUUUCUGGCGUGCCAUGAACAAACACAGAUGCAAAACGAGUACGAGAAAGAAUGUCGACGGUUUUUAUUAUUGCUUCAUUUCUUACACAAAGGUCAAAGAGUUGGGAAAAUUGUUAAUAAUGUGUACGUGACGUGUUUACAUGUUAUUUGCUUUAUUUGUUCUCGUGCCAACUGCCUAGGAAACGGAAUUAAAACUGAACUCGUUUCAGUCCUCGUACUCGACCACUUUGUUCGGCCGUUGGGGGUUGGUGUGCUGAAGAUGUUGGACGAUAAGGCGUGAUAAUGGUAGCUGUAGCUUUAUGAUACUGUUUUCCAGUCGGAUGUUGACUGCAAUGAUUUAUAAUGAAUUGUAAUAGUUAUAAAGAUUUUGCAAAUGACUGAUUAUUCACAUUUAGUUCCUAAUUUUCCGCGUUCUUCUGCACUAUCACUCACUUAAAGUUAUUGGAAGCGGUACGUGGCGGAACAGGCUCAUUCAUCGGGGCGUAUGACGCACGAUGAUUUACUGCUAGCGGGUCCGGAACGGGAUGCAACCCAGGAGCGAUGGAAGAGUUGAGGGAAGAGACGUCGCUGCUUCUUGCCCUUGCCUUUCGUCUCCUUCGAAUUGCGGCUUACCUGGCGAGCAUCCAGCCUAGAUAGACGAAACCGAUGAUUAAAAUCAAGCCAAUACCACCCAAGAUGCCGUAGAGAAUGUAAAAUAAGGUGUCGUAGCUCUCUGCGUCAGGUGGGGCUAGUGUAGAGAUGUUUGUGGAUCCGGACCCAGUCGACGAAAUUGAUGGCAAUGUUGCGCCGCUGGUAGGCCUGCUCGUCGUCGUUGUCUGAACCCCUAUCGUCGACGAGGUAGUUUCCCCAAGGCCAGUACUUCCACCCGUAUUACCAGUAGACGUUGGAUACACUUGACUACCUGACUGUGUUGUAACGGAUGUUGGCGAUUCAGUAGUCAUGGUAGAUGUCGGGGACGCAGUCGUUGACACGGGAUCGAUGGUUGCUGCAGUGCUAGUACUUUCACUCGGAUUAACAGUAGACGUUGAAGACAUUUCACUACUCGACUGCGUUCCGGUGGAAGUUGUUUGUUCAGUAGUUACCGUAGAUGUUGGUUCGAUAGACGUAGAGAUCGACGUCAGCGUUGUCGGUAGUGGCGUGGUAGUGAGGGUAUCGCAGGAUUGGUCGUCGUACCAACUAGGAAUGAGAUCCCUAAAAUUCGUCCCGUUAGAGCAGGCACCGUUAACGAAUGGAAGCAAUUCUCGAGAAUCGCGAAUGAGCCAGGCUAGUUGACAAUCGUCACAUUUGAUUGGAUCUGAUGGGGAAAACAAUUUACCGAAUUAGAAAAAAAUGGCAAAAAUAAAUAAAUAGGGAGCAUGUCUAGGUCGUAACUGUUUGUGACUGAGAGGCUGCCAAUCUCUCCGGUCGUUGCAGUCUUCAUAUCCACCAGGAUUUUGAAGUAGAUGGAUGAACGGAAUUCUUGCAAGUUGUUGCCGUCGAGGAGGACUUUUGCAUUCCCGUAAUAUCCUUCACGAGAAAAGGUAAAAUUUUGAAAUUUUCUUUGAAAAAUCGUGCAAAAGGUUUAGCGCUUUGACGGCCGGAGCGGUGAAGGAAAGGGAACUUGAUGACACUAUCGGAAUCGAACACAGUGAAAGAUCCAGCGUAUGUAAAGCGGAUAGCACAGAUAAUGCGCUCGGGAUGCGGCUCAUACCCGUAUUAUUUGUCAAUUUUAACACUUGGAAACUUUUGGCAUUAACCAAUGUCGCCAGGAUGGAAUCGAGCUUUUCAUUCGUCAGUUCUGCGCCAUUAUCGGUCAUGAUGAGAGUCUGCAAUCCAGUCAACGACGUCCCCGGGAAACUCAGAGGUGCAAAUCCUUGGCAGUUGGUAAUAGUGAACCGUUUAAGGCUGGGAAGUGAUGGAAGAGAUCCCAGUGAUUGAAUUUUAGUGACACCUUCCAGUUGUAGGAAAUUCAGACUAGUAAAUCCAUUGAGGAAAGACCACGUCAACUUGCCAACAUCGCAAACAAAACUGGUAAAUUCUUCUGUAGUUCUCAUUGAUGUCUUGAAAGCAUCAGAAUGGAUUUCCAUGGGAUUUAUUCCGCAACUGGCCAGGUGAAUGAUCCGUGCACGAUGGUUGCCCAGCAAAUUCGCUGGGAUUAUGGAAUCACACACUUCUGGGACGACAUCGAACCGAUUGAUAUCGACAAAUCCAGUGUUUCCAGCGAAUAUCGACUUGAUUUCUGUGAACGGAAUUCCAAGACAAAGGACAUUCUGAUACCCGGUAGCAACAUUCUUGGUGCAUACGCAACGGCCACAGUCGAUCGCUUCCGUCAGGCCGAUGCCACCAAUCAGCAAUAGGAGCUGUCGCAAUUGAAGAAAAUAAUGUAACAGAUUAGACACGCUACAAGUUAAUGGUACGACACCUAUCAGCCACAUUACAGAGCUCUUCCUCUAUGACAAAUGCUUAUAUUAGUCAAAGUCAAACUGUUUUUGAACAUGGGACAGAAUGAAAAAACUCAUCCCUUAAGGAAAUUUGUGGAUGUGGACCUCAUUGGGAUAACUCUUGCGGCAAAAAACAUUUUUGUGCUUAUUGGAUAAAGGAACAUUGGAUGCUUUGAUGUUUGAUGCCAACCAAGUGCCAUUGAAAAGUUUGGAAAACGAUGUUAAAGGUAAUACAUAGAAUUCUUAUAGUUGGAGGACAGUACAUUUGUAUCUUGUCGCUACUUGAACAUAUUUUUUGCUUUGUAUAAUACUUUCACGACUGAGGUGAUACGUAUGAAAGGUUUCAUGAUGUAGCUAUGAUUUUAACACCAUUACAGGAUGGACAUUGAAUUCCAUGAUGUAGCUAUGAUUUUAACACCAUUACAGGAUGGACAUUGAAUUCCAUGAUGUCUGAAAACAACCAAAUUUCAUCUGAAAGAUUGUAAAAAAUGUUUAAGAUAUUUUAUAAAACCAUAAUUGUGUUAGUAAAGUGACUCAUUUGGUAUGCAUAUAUUGGCAGACAAUACUUAGAAUUCUAAAAGUUGGAGUGCAAAGUACAUGGUAGAUUGGUGAAACAAAACAUGACACAUGGACAUCCUAUUAUAUUCGGAUCCAUUGUUAUCAUAAGUGGGAGUCAAAUCCACAAUCUUCAGCUCCACAGGCAGACAACCUGUAUAUUAUUCAUACGCGUUGCCAUAGUUUAUAAACUCAUUGGUAUGUAGCUCAAUGCAGAGGAGCGUUGGAUUCGUAACCUAAAGUUCGUGGUUUCAAAUCCACCAUAACUGUUUCAAACAACAACAAACAAUCAGGAUCAACGGUUGAGCACUGGCGUGGUAUGCUGACGGAUUAGGGUUCGAUUCCCAGUUA